rnacentral:tRNA from 2 species
GGUUUCGUAGCUCAGCUGGUAGAGCAUCGGACUGAAAAUCCGUGUGUCGGCGGUUCGAGCCCGCCCGAAACCA